GGACUACUGGGGUUUCUAAUCCUGUUUGCUCCCCACGCUUUCGCACAUGAGCGUCAGUACAUUCCCAAGGGGCUGCCUUCGCCUUCGGUAUUCCUCCACAUCUCUACGCAUUUCACCGCUACACGUGGAAUUCUACCCCUCCCUAAAGUACUCUAGUUACCCAGUCUGAAAUGCAAUUCCCAGGUUAAGCCCGGGGCUUUCACACCUCACUUAAAUAACCGCCUGCGUGCCCUUUACGCCCAGUUAUUCCGAUUAACGCUCGCACCCUCCGUAUUACCGCGGCUGCUGGCACAG
rnacentral:misc_RNA from 1 species